rnacentral:rRNA from 1 species
UACGAGAGGCCCAAACGUUAUUCGGAAUUACUGGGCUUAAAGAGUUCGUAGGCGGCGCAGAAAGUAGGGUGUGAAAGCCCUCGGCUUAACCGAGGAAUUGCGCUCUAAACUACUGUGCUUGAGGAACCUAGAGGUGAGCAGAACUGAUGGUGGAGCGGUGAAAUGCGUUGAUAUCAUCAGGAAUACCGGGAGGCGAAGGCGGCUCACUGGGGGUUUUCUGACGCUGAGGAACGAAAGCCAGGGGAGCGAACGGG